AGGACCUCCAACACUCUGGUUUAGAGUGGCGAAAGUGGGCGUCCUUGUCUUGUUCCUGGUCUUAGAGGGAUAGCUUUCAGUUUUUC